rnacentral:rRNA from 1 species
UACGUAGGUGGCAAGCGUUGUCCGGAAUUAUUGGGCGUAAAGCGCGCGCAGGCGGUCCUUUAAGUCUGAUGUGAAAGCCCUCGGCUCAACCGAGGAGGGUCAUUGGAAACUGGAGGACUUGAGUGCAGAAGAGGAAAGUGGAAUUCCAAGUGUAGCGGUGAAAUGCGUAGAGAUUUGGAGGAACACCAGUGGCGAAGGCGACUUUCUGGUCUGUAACUGACGCUGAGGCGCGAAAGCGUGGGGAGCAACAGG